UUUUUUUAAUAAUACGACUGUACUAGAUCUACGAAUGUAUGAAACAAAUUUAUUUUUUAUAUGAUAAACAACAAAGAUAUGUCCAAGAAAGUACCCUGAAAAUCAUUCCCUCACUAUAUCCCAAGCGCUAAAUUUGAAGAUAAUCAUUAACUUAAAACGUAAAAUUCCUAACAAAUUGUUUAUUAUGAUAUUUUUUACUUAUAUAGGAUAGUAUUGACUAUAGCUAUAUUAGUUCAUAGUCUCAUAAAUGCGAAUGGAAAUAUUUUUAAAUAUAAUUCAAAAUUUGUCCUUAAAAAAAGUAUCAUUCCCUCACCGUUUUGUAACAAUGUGAUUGGAGCAAUACUCCAAGGCCUACCAAAUCCCACUUUAAUUUUUUUUUGUAGUUGGCAACAUUGCCCUUGAGAACAUAUUCUAAAGUGGACAAUUGAAGAAAGGAUGUUUUCUUAAAAUCAAUUUGACAAUAAGUUUUUUGAAUAUUACAUUUUUUAACGUCAUUUCCUCAUGUAAUGUUAUCAAAAGUUGGUGACCAUGUCCUUAUAACAUGGAAUAACGAAGUCUAUCCUGGUAAAAUUCUUUCAUUAUCUGAUGAUGGGGCUUUAGUACGGUGUAUGAAGAAAGGAUCAAAAUGCUGGAAAUGGCCGACAGUUUAAGAUGAAGAACUUUAUGCUUGGCCUGACGUUCUUCGAAUAAUUAAACCCCCAAAGUUACUCAGUCGAGGUUGUUAUUUUGUUAAAGAAAUCGAUGAGAAAAAAUAAAAACUUUAAGAAGGUGAAAAUAACUAAAGACAACUGCGAUUAGAUUGCAUAGAGACUGAUAACUGAUAAAUAAUAUUAAAUUAGUAAAAUUGCAAUUUAUGUUCUAUUUUCAUUAUUUUAAUACAUUUAAAUCAUCAAUAUAAAAGUAUACAUUCUUGUCUUUAGUAUGUUAAAAACGUAAAUCAAAUUUUAGACUGAUUAUAUAGUACUUCUUAAUUUCGUUCUUUAAAUUAUUUUAACUAAAUUAAUAUUUAAUAUUACUUUUAUGAGUCAACGUGUUUUGUUUGUAACAGUUAAAUUGUUACAGUACGGAUUUAAUUAUUAUAUUUUUCCAAUAAAAUUAUUUAACUAUUAUAGUUUUGUAAUAAAACAAAUGAUUGGUGCAUUAUAAAGUUUUUAAUUAUUGUAGAAUCACAUUAAAAAUCAUUCCCUCACGAAUCUGUCAUUCCCUCAUUUUAAAAUUUUUUUAAAAUUUUUAUAUUCAAUUCAAACUCAAAACAGUUGGGGACCACUAUAAUAUUUUCCUCAAACAAGAUAUAUACUACGACUUGAGCAA